rnacentral:rRNA from 1 species
GAUGAACGCUGGCUGUGUGCCUAAUACAUGCAUGUCGAACGAAGCACUUGUGCUUAGUGGCGAAUGGGUGAGUAACACGUACUUAAUCUACCUCAGAGUUUGGGACAACAUUUGGAAACGAAUGCUAAUACCGAAUAUACCUUUUAACCGCAUGGUUAGUUGGUAAAAGGCCCGUUUGGGUCGCUGCGAGAUGAGAGUGCGGUACAUUAGUUAGUUGGUAGGGUAAAGGCCUACCAAGACGAUGAUGUAUAGCGGGGUUGAGAAGCUGAACCGCCACACUGGGACUGAGAUACGGCCCAGACUCCUACGGGAGGCAGCAGUAGGGAAUAUUCCACAAUGAGCGAAAGCUUGAUGGAGCGACACAGCGUGCAGGAUGAAGGUCUUCGGAUCGUAAACUGCUGUUAUAAGGGAAGAAAAAACCGGUGUAGGAAAUGACAUCGGCUUGACGGUACCUUAUCAGAAAGCACCGGCAAACUAUGUGCCAGCCGCCGCGGUAAAACCUA